rnacentral:tRNA from 1 species
CAGACAGAAGCCCGCUGGAUUAGGUGUUUAGCUGUUAAUUAAUUUUUUGCGGGAUCGAGGCCCGCCUGUCUAG